rnacentral:rRNA from 1 species
CCUACGGGUGGCAGCAGUGGGGAAUAUUGGACAAUGGGCGAAAGCCUGAUCCAGCCAUGCCGCGUGUGUGAAGAAGGCCUUCGGGUUGUAAAGCACUUUCAGUGGGGAAGAAAGCCUUGGGGCUAAUACCCUCGAGGAAGGACAUCACCCACAGAAGAAGCACCGGCUAACUCCGUGCCAGCAGCCGCGGUAAUACGGAGGGUGCGAGCGUUAAUCGGAAUUACUGGGCGUAAAGCGCGCGUAGGCGGUCUGAUAAGCCGGUUGUGAAAGCCCCGGGCUCAACCUGGGAACGGCAUCCGGAACUGUCAGGCUAGAGUGCAGGAGAGGAAGGUAGAAUUCCCGGUGUAGCGGUGAAAUGCGUAGAGAUCGGGAGGAAUACCAGUGGCGAAGGCGGGCUUCUGGACUGACACUGACGCUGAGGUGCGAAAGCGUGGGUAGCAAACAGGAUUAGAUACCCUGGUAGUC